ACCCACUCAGGGAAAGGCAUGGAUUGGGUUCUAAUGUAUUACAACUGAACUCAACAUUCAGAUAUUAUAGAAUCAUAGAGCAUAGAGUUGGAAGAGACCUCAUGGACUAUCUAGUCCAAUCCCAUUCUGCCUAGAAGCAUGAAAACCAUAUUCAAAGCACCCCCGACAAAUGGCCAUCCAGCCUCUACUUAAAACCUCCAAAGAAGGAGCCUCAACACACUCUGAGGCAGAGAGUUCCACUGCUGAACAGGUCUCACAAUGAGUAAGUUCUUCCUAAUGUUCAGACGGAAUCUCCUUUCUUGUAGUGUGAAGCCAUUGUUCCUCAUCCUCGUCUCCAAGGCAGCAGAAAACAAGCUUGCUCCCUCCUCCCUAUGACUUCUCCUCACAUAUUUACUCACGGCCUUUAUGUCUCCUCUCAGCCUUCUCUUCUGCAGGCCAAACAUGCCCAGCUCAACUAGAUAGUUUUUGAGAGGCUAGAAAUAUUUCCUGAAUCAAAGCAUCACUGGCUGAGUCCCUACAUUGAGGACUCCUGUGCCAUUGUCACAGUUUGGUAGGGACAAUCCCUACUAAUCCUCAGUCUUCCCACUUUUUCAACUACUCAUCACAGUGAGAGGGGAAAGCAUGGAUGCCAAGAGCCAGGAGUGAUAUCUUCCCAUUGUUGUCCCAUCCAUACCAAGAGCUGGCAACAAUGAGCAAUAUCAAACGCACGAGGGGAAACAGCCAUCAAAUUAUUCAUACACAGUUUAGGAAGAAAUGGACGUCUGUGAACCGUCUAAAUAAACCGCCUGGCUUUGAA